rnacentral:rRNA from 1 species
AUGGCAGAAUGCUUCAAUAAGGUGCUCAAGGGUGUACGUGCAUUACUCGUGACGGCAAUAGUUCAAUACACAUUUGACAAGAUGAAUGAAUACUUUUUAAAGCACUCAAUGGAGACUGAUAAGCAGAUUGCUGGUGAGAACAAGGAUAAGCACAAGUACAAUUUCCCACCAAAGGUUGAAGAAUGGUUGGAAUUUCAAUCACGAAAGGCAGACUCCGAAGAAGCUACUAUAUACGACAACGAGUGGAAGUAUGAGGUGAAAGAGCCCGGAGGAACCACAAACGAUGGCCGCCAACAUGGAGGCCGGGCUUUCAAGGUCUCCCUAACACGGUGUGAUUGCAGCUGCAUGAGGCCGUCUUUGCUUCAUCUCCCAUGCUCGCACUUGUUAAAUGCAUCCCGGGUUAGGAAUGUGGACGUCAAUCACCCUCUUACCGUGAGGGAGUCCGAGUUCUCAAUCAUGACGGUAAAGAAUACAUGGACUCCACGGUUCCAACCAUACUUGGACCAAUCACAAUGGCCGGAGUAUCAUGGAAUUCAACUAUGACCGGACCCAGAAUUGAAGGUCGUUAGACGGGGAAGACAUAAGACAAAGCGUCUUAGAGGUGACAUGGACGGGUGGGGCCGUGGUGGCGGUGGAGAAUACGGCACCGGCCAAUUCCAAGAGCCUCGUGAGCAAUCCCGUUGUGGGGGCUGCAGUAAUGGGGGGCUUCAUCCGGUUCCAUGA